rnacentral:rRNA from 1 species
UACGUAGGGAGCAAGCGUUGUCCGGAAUCAUUGGGCGUAAAGCGCGCGUAGGCGGCCAGAUAAGUCCGGUGUGAAAGUCACAGGCUCAACCUGUGAAUGCCGCUGGAAACUGUCUGGCUAGAGUCCGGAAGGGGCGAGUGGAAUUCCUGGUGUAGCGGUGAAAUGCGCAGAUAUCAGGAGGAACACCAAUUGCGAAGGCAGCUCGCUGGGACGUUACUGACGCUGAGACGCGAAAGCGUGGGGAGCAAACAGG